ACAACAUUCGGCACGUUGGUCUACCGAGCAAUAUCACCCGUUCGGUAGAAGAUCUUCCUUUCGUCGU
rnacentral:pre_miRNA from 1 species